rnacentral:rRNA from 1 species
AAUCAACGCUGGCGGCGUGCCUCAGACAUGCAAGUCGAACGAUUAAACUUUCCUUCGGGAAAGAUAUAAAGUGGCGCACGGGUGAGUAACACGUAGGUAAUGUACCUUUGGGUGGGGAAUAACUUAGGGAAACUUAAGCUAAUACCGCAUAAUGCAGCGGCUCCUUCGGGAGACAGUUGUUAAAGAUUUAUCGCCUAAAGAGCAGCCUGCGGCAGAUUAGCUAGUUGGUAAGGUAACGGCUUACCAAGGCGACGAUCUGUAUCCGACCUGAGAGGGUGGUCGGACGACACUGACACUGAAUAACGGGUCAGACUCCUACGGGAGGCAGCAGUCGGGAAUUUUGGGUCGAAUAGGGCGGAAAGACCUGACCCACGCAACGCCGCGUGAAGGAUGAAGUCUUUC